rnacentral:rRNA from 1 species
UACGGGGGGAGCAAGCGUUGUUCGGAUUUACUGGGCGUAAAGGGCGCGUAGGCGGCCACCGCAAGUCAAUUGUGAAAUCUCCGGGCUUAACUCGGAAAGGUCAACUGAUACUGCGGGGCUAGAGUGCGGAAGGGGCAACUGGAAUUCUCGGUGUAGCGGUGAAAUGCGUAGAUAUCGAGAGGAACACCAGUGGCGAAGGCGACUUCCUGGCCUGUUCUUGACGCUGAGGCGCGAAAGCUAGGGGAGCAAACGGG